CAGCAGCCGCGGUAAUACGAAGGGCGCAAGCGUUACUCGGAAUUACUGGGCGUAAAGCGUGCGUAGGUGGUGGUUUAAGUCCGUUGUGAAAGCCCUGGGCUCAACCUGGGAAUUGCAGUGGAUACUGGAUCACUAGAGUGUGGUAGAGGAUAGUGGAGUUUCCGGUGUAGCAGUGAAAUGCGUAGAGAUCGGAAGGAACAUCUGUGGCGAAGGCGACUAUCUGGGCCAACACUGACACUGAGGCACGAAAGCGUGGGGAGCAAACAGGAUUAGAUACCCCUGUAGUCCCUGUCUCUUAUAC
rnacentral:rRNA from 1 species